rnacentral:rRNA from 1 species
ACCCGUUGAUCCUGCGGGAAGUUGCUGCUAUCUGGGUUCGACUAAGCCAUGCAAGCACGGGCUCUUCGAGAGUACCGGCAGAUUGCUCAGUAACACGUCGAUAAUCAAACCUUAAGUUUGGGAUAACCUUGGGAAACUGAGGACAAUACCAGAUAUGGAAUUGGUACUGGAAUGUCUAAUUCUACAAAAGUAAUGCUUAAGGAUGGGUCGGCGGCAGAUUAGGUUGUUGGUGAGGUAAAGGCUCACCAAGCCGAAGAUCUGUAGGGGCCUUGAAAGAGGAAGCCCCGAGAAGGGCACUGAGAUACUGGCCCUAGCCCUACGGGGUGCAGCAGGCGCGAAACCUUUACAAUGCACGAGAGUGUGAUAAGGGAACCCAGGGUGCCUAACUAUGUUAGGCUUUUUGCCAAGUGUAAAUAGCUUGGAGAAUAAGUGGUGGGAAAGACUGGUGCCAGCCGCCGCGGUAAUACCAGCGCCACGAGUGGGAACUACAAUUAUUGGGCCUAAAGCGUCCGUAGCCUGUUAAGUAAAUUUCUUGUGAAAUUGUUGCGCUCAACGUAACAGCGUGCAGGAAAGACUGCUUGACUUGGGACUGGGAGGAGUUAGAAGUAUAUUUGGGGUAGCGGUAAAAUGUUAUAAUCCUAAAUAGACUACCUGUGGCGAAAGCGUCUAACUAGAACAGGUCCGACGGUGAGGGACGAAAGCUAGGGGAGCAAACCGGAUUAGAUACCCGAGUAGUCCUAGCCAUAAACGCUGCGAGCAAGAUGUCGCAUAUUCUUCGGGAACAUGCAGUAUCGAAGAGAAGUCGUUAAGCUCGCCGCCUGGGAAGUAUGGUCGCAAGACUGAAACUUAAAGGAAUUGGCGGGGGAGCACUACAAGGGGUGCGGCGUGCGGUUUAAUCUAACUCAACGCAGAGAAUCUCACCAGAAGCGACGGCAGGAUGAAAGUCAGAUUAAAGGUUUCACUUGACGAGCCGAGAGGUAGUGCAUGGCCGCCGUCAGCUCGUUCCGUAAGGUGUCCUGUUAAGUCAGGCAACGAGCGAGACCUGUGCCUACAAUUGCCAGCGGGUCCUUUUGGAUGACCGGGCACAUUGUAGGAACUGCCCUGGAAACAGGGAGGAAGGUGCAGGCUACGGUAGGUCUGUAUGCUCCGAAUCUUCUGGGCUACACGCGCGCAACAAUGGUAAGGACAAUGGGAUGCAACUCCGAAAGGAGAAGCUAAUCCUCGAAACCUUAUCUCGGUUCAGAUUGAGGCUUGUAACUCAGCCUCAUGACGCUGGAAUCCCUAGUAAUCAGGUCUUAUCACGGCCCGGUGAAUAUGUCCCUGCUCCUUGCACACACUGCCCGUCAAAUCAACCGAGUUGAGUCUAGAUGAGAUGCAGUUUCUUUGAUUGUAGCGAAUCUAGGCUUAGUGAGGUGGGUUAAGUCGUCACAAGGUC